rnacentral:misc_RNA from 1 species
CGCAUUGCCAACGAGGAUGCGAGAACCCCGAAAGGGCUUUGGCUGCUAGGGGGGGGGGGGUGAAAGAGCGUUGUUGGAAGAAGGAAGCGAGCAGCAAAGUUUUCUUAGUAGUUUCGCUGGAAGCAAGGAGCAACGGAGUGCAUAAGAUGUGUGGUGGGAUUCUUGGGUGUUGGGCAUUCGUGUGGGGUGAGGGGGGGAUGUGAAAUGGCGAGAUGCUAAGGGUUUUUUUUUUUCAGUACUUUGGUGGAAUGACUGGCAGGAGUAGUUCUUCGCAGAAAAUCGUCGGUCGGGUCUCAGGAGGCGAAAGAAGAGAGAGCACGCUGCGUACUAUGAGCUCAAAACGCCAGGUUUGUCAAAUGCGGUAUAGCAAGAACCGGCAGGCUCUUUCAGACUGCGAGGAACGACGUGCAAGCGGUUUAGGUGUUUGAGUACGGCGAUGUACGUGCUCAUGCGUCGAGGCUUCGGUCACUAUCUCAGCAAACGAGCAAGAGCCACUGAAAUGCUUCAUCAUGGACACGCUUGAGUUUCAGAGCGCCCCAAGGUUGCGCGCCCCUCAAAGCCCACGAUGUGCGCCAAUCCAAGACACUUGGGGAAGCGCUAACUACCACCAGCUGCGAUUUUGGCUUGGAUAGGCGUUUGUUCCGCUGAUUUGGUCUGUGCAAAAAAUAUCACAUACUUCAGUCAUUGGAAGAAGGAAGUGCUUGAUAAUUAGUACGAGCGUCUUUGAACUUUACAGCUUAUUCUUCCCAACAUGUUUCCUCGAGUCUGAGUAAACUAAUAUAUAUAUAUGUAUGCAUAUAUAUGUGUAUAUAAGGAGCGCCACUUCAUAACGCGAAACGGAGAUGUAGGCCUCUGCUCUAGAGCGAUUGGUGUGACCAUGGCUCUUUUCGCGUGAAAAAAAAUCACGAACCUUUCAUUUUCCACCGCUGUGUGCUUUGCUCUUUCUAUUUCAUUCAAUUCGAUGCACGCUUUUGUUUUCGAUUCACUCUCUGCUCCUAG